rnacentral:rRNA from 1 species
GGAGAAAAGUAGGGGAUCGCAAGACCUUGCGCUAAAGGAGCGGCCGAUGUCUGAUUAGUUAGUUGGUGGGGUAAAGGCCUACCAAGGCAACGAUCAGUAGCUGGUCUGAGAGGACGAUCAGCCACACUGGGACUGAGACACGGCCCAGACUCCUACGGGAGGCAGCAGUGGGGAAUUUUGGACAAUGGGCGAAAGCCUGAUCCAGCCAUGCCGCGUGAAUGAAGAAGGCCUUCGGGUUGUAAAGUUCUUUUAGUUGGAAAGAAAAAAUUAUGAUGAAUAAUCAUAAUUCAUGACGGUACCGACAGAAAAAGCACCGGCUAACUACGUGCCAGCAGCCGCGGUAAUACGUAGGGUGCAAGCGUUAAUCGGAAUUACUGGGCGUAAAGGGUGUGCAGGCGGCCUUGUAAGUCAGAUGUGAAAGCCCC